UUUCCGGUUGAUCCUGCCGGACCCGACCGCUAUCGGGGUGGGGCUAAGCCAUGGGAGUCGCACGCUCCGCCGCCGCGGGGCGUGGCGCACGGCUGAGUAGCACGUGGCUAACCUACCCUCGGGAGGGGGAUAACACCGGGAAACUGGUGCUAAUCCCCCAUAGGGGAAGGCGCCUGGAAGGGUCCUUCCCCGAAAGGGUUUGGCAGGGGUUAUCGCUGCCAAGCCGCCCGAGGAUGGGGCUGCGCCCCAUCAUGGUAGUUGGCGGGGUAACGGCCCGCCAAGCCGAAGACGGGUGGGGGCCGUGAGAGCGGGAGCCCCGAGAUGGGCACUGAGACAAGGGCCCAGGCCCUACGGGGCGCAGCAGGCGCGAAACCUCCGCAAUGUGGGAAACCGCGACGGGGUCACCCCGAGUGCCGCCCGAUGAGGGCGGCUUUUCCUCGGUGUAAGAAGCCGGGGGAAUAAGCGGGGGGCAAGUCGGGUGUCAGCCGCCGCGGUAAUACCCGCUCCCCGAGUGGUGGGGACGAUUAUUGGGCUUAAAGCGUCCGUAGCCGGCCUGGUAAGUCCCUCGUUAAAUCCAACGGCCUAACCGUUGGACUGCGGGGGAUACUGCCAGGCUAGGGGGCGGGAGAGGCCGGCGGUAUUCCCGGGGUAGGGGUGAAAUCCUAUAAUCCCGGGAGGACCACCAGUGGCGAAGGCGGCCGGCCAGAACGCGCCCGACGGUGAGGGACGAAAGCCGGGGGAGCGAACCGGAUUAGAUACCCGGGUAGUCCCGGCUGUAAACGAUGCGGGCUAGGUGUUGGCGCGACCACGAGUCGCGCCAGUGCCGCAGGGAAACCGUUAAGCCCGCCGCCUGGGGAGUACGGUCGCAAGACUGAAACUUAAAGGAAUUGGCGGGGGGGCACCACAAGGGGUGAAGCUUGCGGUUCAAUUGGAGUCAACGCCGGG
rnacentral:rRNA from 1 species